rnacentral:rRNA from 1 species
CCUGCGGGUGGCUGCAGUGGGGAAUAUUGGACAAUGGGGGCAACCCUGAUCCAGCCAUGCCGCGUGUGUGAAGAAGGCCCUCGGGUUGUAAAGCACUUUCAGUGAGGAAGAACGCCUGGUGGUUAAUACCCAUCAGGAAAGACAUCACUCACAGAAGAAGCACCGGCUAACUCCGUGCCAGCAGCCGCGGUAAUACGGAGGGUGCGAGCGUUAAUCGGAAUUACUGGGCGUAAAGCGCGCGUAGGUGGCUUGAUAAGCCGGUUGUGAAAGCCCCGGGCUCAACCUGGGAACGGCAUCCGGAACUGUCAAGCUAGAGUGCAGGAGAGGAAGGUAGAAUUCCCGGUGUAGCGGUGAAAUGCGUAGAGAUCGGGAGGAAUACCAGUGGCGAAGGCGGCCUUCUGGACUGACACUGACACUGAGGUGCGAAAGCGUGGGUAGCAAACAGGAUUAGAUACCCCAGUAGUC